AAAUUGAAGAGUUUGAUCAUGGCUCAGAUUGAACGCUGGCGGCAGGCCUAACACAUGCAAGUCGAACGGUAACAGGAAGCAGCUUGCUGCUUCGCUGACUAGUGGCGGACGGGUGAGUAAUGUCUGGGAAACUGCCUGAUGGAGGGGGAUAACUACUGGAAACGGUAGCUAAUACCGCAUAACGUCGCAAGACCAAAGAGGGGGACCUUCGGGCCUCUUGCCAUCGGAUGUGCCCAGAUGGGAUUAGCUUGUUGGUGGGGUAACGGCUCACC
rnacentral:rRNA from 1 species